rnacentral:rRNA from 1 species
GACGAACGCUGGCGGCGUGCUUAACACAUGCAAGUCGAACGGAAAGGCCCUGCUUUUGUGGGGUGCUCGAUUGGCGAACGGGUGAGUAACACGUGAGUAACCUGCCCUUGACUUUGUGAUAACUUCAGGAAACUGGGGCUCAUACCGGAUAGGAGCUCCUGCUGCAUGGUGGGGGUUGGAAAGUUUCGGCGGUUGGGGAUGGACUCGCGGGUUAUCAGCUUGUUUGUGGGGUAGUGGCUUACCAAGGCUUUGACGGGUAGCCGGCCUGAGAGGGUGACCGGCCACAUUGGGACUGCGAUACGGCCCAGACUCCUACGGGAGGCAGCAGUGGGGAAUAUUGCACAAUGGGCGGAAGCCUGAUGCAGCAACGCCGCGUGCGGGAUGACGGCCUUCGGGUUGUAAACCGCUUUCGCCUGUGACGAAGCGUGAGUGACGGUAAUGGGUAAAGAAGCACCGGCUAACUACGUG